ACGUAAUAGAUACCCCGGUAGUCCACGCCCUAAACGAUGUCUACUAGUUGUUGGUGGAGUAAAAUCCAUGAGUAAACGCAGCUAAACGCGUGAAGUAGACCGCCUGGGGAGUACGGUCGCAAGAUUAAAACUCAAAUGAAUUGACGGGGGCCCGCACAAGCGGUGGAUUAUGUGGAUUAAAUUCGAUGCAACGCGAAAAACCUUACCUGGCCUUGACAUGUAACGAACUUUCCAGAGAUGGAUUGGUGCUCGAAAGAGAACGUUAACACAGGUGCUGCAUGGCUGUCGUCAGCUCGUGUCGUGAGAUGUUGGGUUAAGUCCCGCAACGAGCGCAACCCUUGCCAUUAAUUGCCAUCAUUUAGUUGGGCACUUUAAUGGGACUGCCGGUGACAAACCGGAGGAAGGUGGGGAUGACGUCAAGUCCUCAUGGCCCUUAUGGCCAGGGCUUCACACGUAAUACAAUGGUCGGUACAGAGGGUUGCCAACCCGCGAGGGGUAGCCAAUCCCAGAAAGCCGAUCGUAGUCCGGAUUGUAGUCUGCAACUCGACUAC
rnacentral:rRNA from 1 species